UGGGCGUAAAGCGCGUGGAGGCGGUUUGUUAAGUCUGAUGUGAAAGCCCCGGGCUCAACCUGGGAAGUGCAUUGGAAACUGUCAGACUUGAAUACGGGAGAGGGUAGUGGAAUUCCUAGUGUAGGAGUGAAAUCCGUAGAUAUUAGGAGGAACACCGGUGGCGAAGGCGGCUACCUGGACCGAUAUUGACGCUGAGACGCGAAAGCGUGGGGAGCAAACAGGAUUAGAUACCCUGGUAGUCCACGCCGUAAACGAUGAGUACUAGGGUGCG
rnacentral:rRNA from 1 species